UUUUUUAAGUGUUUCGCCCAGCUCCUCCUUCCCCCACUACAAACAGCAAACACAUGAGUGAGCUAAUCAGCUCUUAAACUGAAAAACCUUUCGAUACAGGCGAGUGAUGGAAGAUAAAAGCUGAGGGGCGGCAGGAGGGUCAAAUAAAAGUUGCUCCGCAGUUUGCUCAUCCAAGCCCCGCAGCGACCGCAGGGGGGGUGAGGUUCCCAAAGCCACUUUCACACCUUCGAUAAUGCACUAGCAAAGAGAAGCCCGGAGAGGCUGAAGUUUCCACGGAGGGCACCGUCGGGGAGACGCAGCCCGGGAGGACAGAAAGGUUGGGCUCGCUACCUCUGCACACGGGCGAGCCGGGGCUCCGUCGCUCAGGAAAAGAAGAUGUCCUUAAUAAGCAGAUUUGACCGAGAACUCUUACUUCAAUGGUGGAAGAUUUCUGGGAAAGAGGAGGAAGAGGCUAAAAAUAUUUUAAAGGUUUGACGAAAAGGGAUUCCCUAGAAAGGAUUUAUGUUUGCUUCUGCCUGAGCCUGAGGACACUACCAACCCAGGAAAAUUUAAGAAAGGGAUUUGGGAAAGAAGCUGCUUGUCUAAUAACAGUCAAGUGGACAGAUGAGGAUGGAGUAUGAGGAACCAGAUUUGGAAGAUAUUUGAAUCAAGAAGAACAUCAACAUCAAGAAUCAACAGGACUUGAUGACAGAUUUGAUAAAGGGGGGCUGAGAAGAAUGAGUCAAAUGACAUUUUUAGGCCUUUAAUUUGCCAAGACAGAUGAUGACAUUCAAUGAAAUCUAGAUUAUCAGUUAACAGCUGUUUAUUGAGCACCUUCUAUGUUCCAGACAUUAUUCUAGACCCACAGUCUAUUUUCACUGUAGUCAGGAGAGGCAGACAGUAAACAAGUGGAUAAUCUGAAAUAGUGAUAAGCGUGAUGGAGAAAAUAAAACAGGGUUACGUGAGAGUGACUGGGGGAAGAGACACUUUAGCUGAGGUCCUCACGAAGACUGACACUUGAACUAAGACCUUAAUGAUAAGGGGGCAGGCAAGUGAGGCUCCAGUAAAGAAGGGGUAGAAAAUGAAAAGGCUGAGCUAGGAAAGAGCUUAACAUGAUCAAGGGACAGAAAGGUAGCUGGUGGACGGGGAUGGGGUUUGGGGUAUGAAGAGAAAUGAAGUCUGAGAGCACAUGGAGCACCUUGUAGCCCACUGUAAAGAACUUAGCAGUGAUUCCAGUUACAGUGGGCAGCCAGCAUGUUUGAAGCCAAGGAGUGAUGUGAUCUGAUUCAAUUUUUGCGGGCUGUGAAGAGAACGGACUUAAGGGGGAAGAAUGGAGGCAGAGAGUCUGGGCGAAAGUGGUGGCUUAAAUUCCUAGCAGUGCCCAUGUUGAGAAGGGGUUAGAGUCUGGAUAUGGAGAGGGAGAGGUGAUAGGACUUACGGGUGGAACUGCAUGUAGACUGUGAGGGAAAGAAAGGAACCAGGGGUACCUCAGGGGGUGUGAUUCUAAACCACUAUAUAAAGGGUGGUGUUAUUAAACAGUGAUGGUGAAAACUUGAGCAGAGAGAAGCUUCAGGGUGGUGGGGUCAGAAAUCAAUAGUUCUUCUUUGCUCAAGUAAAGGCUGAACUGUUUAGAAACUUGUAAGUGAAACGGCAGGUAGACAGCUGGAUACAGUCUACAGCUCUGGGGUGAGGUCUAUGUGGAGAUAUACUUUGGGAGUCAUCAGACUCUUCAAAGAUUUUAAAACCAUGAGACUAUAUAAGACUCAUCUUGACCCAUGAAACAUGAAGCAAUGUUUGUGGUUUUAGAUUUUUAAAGCAAGGAAUAAUAAAUUCCAUUUUGGACACUUCAGGUGGGGAUAAGUGAUUAGUUGGCUUUUCUGUGGUGAAUCACACUAGCCUCUAAAAGUAUUUUAGUAUUACCCUCUUGUACUGACUUAACCCUGUCAUCUCCUUUGGAGUCUCCCUAUUUCAUUUCUGCUACAUCAGUAAGCUCUUUGAGAGCAAACGGUGUCUUCCCAAUCCCCAGCAACUAUUCAGAGAGAAGGCACUUUUAUCUGUUAUACCAUGAGUAUAAAAAUCCAGUCUUAAUGGUUAAGAAUUGAAGGAAGUAGCACAAUAAUGAGCUAGUUUCAAAUCUCUGAGGAUCUAUUCUCAAAAGUUUCUUUCCUUCAAAAUUAAUCUUGGAAUUCUUCCUAUCAAUAAAUCGACUUCGAAAAAUAAUUGAGUUCCGCAGACAUUUCCACUGAAUCACAUACAUAACUAAGCAGUUAAAUUCAAGUAAUCACGGAUGAUUUCUAAACCAUCUUGGUGGUUCUUUCCUAAAGCUCAAAUAUAUCAACCUUUAUUUCCUAUCAAAGAUGCUACUUAUAUUCAGUACUCAAUAAAUAUUUGAAUACAUAAAAGAGAUCAAGAUGCUUCAACAUAUAGACAGGAAAUUUUUCUUUGUCCUUGUAUCUUUUUUCUCAGUACUAUAUACUCAGCCCCUUGCACAGUGCAUUGAAUACAGUCAGUGCUUAAUAAAUAUUUGUUGCAUGCAUUAAUAAAAAAAACAAUGCACAGUUUUAUGGGAAAGAUGGCUCUUUUCUUCUUCUACAUCAAUUUACUUCCCAUGUAACUUCUUUAAAUGUUUUUCUCUUGAUUAUAAAAUAUUUACUCACUGUGGAAAAUAUAAAUACAAAAAAAUCUCUCUUC